GGGCGCUGCACACGGCACCGUUGUAUUAAUUAUCUAGCCUAGAUAGUUUUAUUUUAGACAUUUGCAACUAUGGACUAUAGCACUGUUAGAACGUUUCGACUAUAUUUAAAGAAAAAUAUGAACAUACUGAAUUACUACUGAAUAAAUGCAAGUUAUAUGAAAAAAACGUGCCAAAGUUAAGAGCGUUCAUAACUUCAGCUUAUCGCAGUUGCAUUACCGGGCGGCUUGGGCUCCUCGGGCAGGGGCCGCAAGUGGUCGCAGCAGGCGAGCGCGAUGUCGACGGCGGGCCCGGACAGCAGGCAGCCGCCGUUGCAGUCAGCAGCGCUCUCCUCCAGCGGCGCGCUGUGCGUCGACCGCGGCAAGCUGCUGUACCCUGCGAUAACACGCAAACAUCACUCUAUGGGGGAGAAAAUGAUGAUGAUGUACACACGUGCGGUUCCCUGGGUGCAAGCAAGCCGUCCCGCUCAAGUAUCUCGCGCUCGGUGCGGCCCACGUACUUGAACUUGGUGCCCCACGAGAACAACCCGCCGCCUGAGUACACCGACGCCUCCGACGACGACGGCAGCCUGCGCACACGCACCAAGCCGUUAUUUAUAAAAAUAUUAAACCGCUAGUACUCACGUGAAAAACAACAUCUGCUCUAUAGCGCAACACCACACAUGCCGACACGACGCUCCACUGGGACAUUUGAACCCGACCGUAUGCUUUUUCUGCAAUCGUUGUUUAAAUAUAUGAAAUAAAAAUAAUAAA